rnacentral:sRNA from 1 species
CAGGACUGAGAUGCCCGGCCUCCGAGUUUAUGGGUACUUGGGCAAGCUGCCGCUGGUAGGGUCCAUAUCUCGUAAUGACAACCAAGUAGCACCGCUGUCACCUCCGAAGUUGUCACUAUGGACUAGAUGGAUUCAGUAUAGUGCGGAAACUUAAGGUGCUGUGAUCCUUACAUAUCCGUUCAAGUGACAAGGAACUGUUUAGCAUUGCAUGAGCAAUUGUGGGCAAGGCCCAGUUAUGAAUAGAGAACGUAACUCGAGAGUGACCGAACAAAAGGGUAGGCUAGUGAGGUAUAGGCUGUCAUCGCCUCUGACUGCAUACAGCCUUGGGGGAAAUAUGAAGAAGAAAAACCCCUACGAAGUUGUGGCUUUCGUCUAGUAGUUGCGGCUCAGAUGCAGUCGUCCCAGCAAGCUCAGAAGCCAGUUGACAAACCAAUCCUGGU